AUUGAACGCUGGCGGUAUGCUUAACACAUGCAAGUCGAACGGCAGCACGGUAUGUAGCAAUACAUAUGGGUGGCGAGUGGCGGACGGGUGAGUAACGCGUAGGGAUCUGCCCUGUAGCGGGGGACAACCCGGGGAAACCCGGGCUAAUACCGCAUAAUACUCUGAGGAGGAAAGCUGGGUAGCAAUAUCUGGCACUAUGGGAGGAACCUGCGUCCGAUUAGCUAGAUGGUGAGGUAAAGGCUCACCAUGGCGAAGAUCGGUAGCUGGUCUGAGAGGAUGACCAGCCACACUGGGACUGAGACACGGCCCAGACUCCUACGGGAGGCAGCAGUGGGGAAUAUUGGACAAUGGGGGCAACCCUGAUCCAGCAAUACCGCGUGUGUGAAGAAGGCCUUCGGGUUGUAAAGCACUUUAGGUGGGGAAGAAGGUAAUCUGUUUAAGAGAUGGGUUAUUUGAUGGUACCCGCAGAAUAAGCACCGGCUAACUCUGUGCCAGCCGCCGCAGUAAGAC
rnacentral:rRNA from 1 species